GCGGCGGGGCUGAGGCGCUGAGGCGGCCGUGGCGGCGGCGGCGGCGGCAGCGGCGGCCAAGCGGCCAGGUUGGCGGCCGGGGCUCCGGGCCGCGCGAGGCCACGGCCACGCCGCGCCGCUGCGCACAACCAACGAGGCAGAGCGCCGCCCGGCGCGAGACUGCGGCCGAAGCGUGGGGCGCGCGUGCGGAGGACCAGGCGCGGCGCGGCUGCGGCUGAGCAUAAUUGAUAUACUGUGGUUACUCUACCUAUUUGUGUAGGCCUCUCAGGUCAUUGAAACAAGAUGUUGUACAAAUUAGCAGAUGACACUGGCACAUGGAGGAAUGAGUCUAGUGUUGUUAAUGAGAAGUUGGAUAUCCGUUUGAUCCUUGUUCUACUGCAGGUAAUGUAUAUUUUGAGAACAGUGUGAGGUUUAUUCUACUAAUGGAAAUUUACAAAAAUACCAGUUUGAAUGAUUGAGAAAUCUAAGUUAAAGAACCCUUGAAUAGAAAUGUCGCUGUUCAGUGCGUUGAUCGAUUCUCACAUCUGAAGCCAGCUGUGUAUUCUUGAGUGGAGCCUUUCAGGCUGGCAUGGAGAGCUUAAGGGGCGACUGAAGGAGACACACUGGCUGAGCGCGGAGUUCUGCUUACUUCAGUCCUGCUGAGAUACUCUCUCAGUCCGCUCGCACCGAAGGAAGCUGCCUUGGGAUCAGAGCAGACAUAAAGCUAGAAAAAUUUCAAGGAAGCUGUCAGUGUGGUGUUGGGCCUGAUUGAUUCGCAUCAGCUCAGGGGUGCUCAGGCAUGUGGCGUCCUAUUGGAAGGUCGGCAGUGGGAGAGCAGCUGGCCAGUUCCUCCCGCCUGCAAGGCAGGGGAGUGUACAAGGUGUGUACCCCAGGGGCAGGAUGCUAACACUGCACUGACUGAGAAAAGAAUUUGUCUUACCUGUACCUGACAGGUGUGUACCUGAAAGAGAUGAAAUUGAAAUGGCCAAUGAGCACACGCUCAUUCAUCCAGCGAGCAUUGAGGACCCCCUAGAGGCCAGGCCCAUGAGUGAUGAAGAUCCCGAGGAUGAAGACGCCUUGCCAGCCAGGUAGAAGAAAGAAAUGGGAAGAAAAAGGAAGAGAACCAUAGCUACGUUGUGAGGGCAUUACUUCAACUCUGGUAACUUCAUGUGAAAUGACUACAAAAUGAAUUAAUAUGCAGUAAGAGAGCCAGUGCCCCACCAGGGCACCUUUCCACUUGCUGGCACACAGAUUUACCACAAUUAGGGUACCGCUUGUCCUGUCAUGCCGGGAGAGUCUAAAUUACUCUGACUUUCAAGAAACCAAAAAUAUGCAUUUUUGAUGUUAGGAAGAUUUACUGUGCAUUGGGCUGUGUCAUUUGAUGAGGAAAAAACCAAAUGAUCUCUUUAUGAAAAUGAAGAAUUGUAGCCUGUGGAGGUGACCAAGGAACCAGAUCCCAAGAGGCCUCUGCCACUGAAAGGAGAUUUUUAUUACUUGCGUUUCCUAGAGGGGGGGCACUCGCACCAAGCAGGCCCACGGGGCACACUGGUGUCAGUCAAGGGGCAGAAAGGAGCCACAGGAAAGCCCAGGACAGAGCCUGAGUGGGGUUUCUGUGGGAAAGGCAGGGCAGGGCACCCGUGUAGGAAUGGCUAGUGUGAACAGUUCCAGUGGGCCCUGGGCUGUAGGAGAGAUCACUAGCUGCCUGCUACCAGGCCCUGGGGUGAUUUAGGGCAGGCGGGCAGUUAGAUAAGGGAGGUGGGUAGAGCCGACCACCUGCCUGGAACCCUGUGCUGGCUAUAAGCCCUGGGAGGGCCAGUCUCUCCCUGUGUCUGUAAGGCCCACAAAUGCCAAAGCAUUAGGAAUAAGAAAAUGGACAUAAUAGAAUUGAUCCUGUGAGGACUGGAUGCCUAACUGCCACAUACAGAAUCUGAGAAAGCACAGAACAACUGCCUUCAUUGACAAGAUGGUGCCCAGAGCUCAAGACAGGCACACAGCAGGAGGAUGCCGGCAGGAUCCCUCAACAAGCUUACCGUGGUAUCUUUCACAAUGUUAACUGUCAUCCCAGAUUAACUUUUAAUGACAGCAUAUCUCUGAAGAUUGUGCUUUUAGCGUAUUUUCACUUAAAGUCAUAUCUCAUUUAGUAGACCUGCCAGAUUCCGGAAAAGUUACACACAAGCCAGCUGACAUGACCUUUGCCAGUCAUGUUGACCAUGUUCUCACCGAGCUGUGGACUCCUCACUAGGAGCCUUUACCUAUGGCCAGAUGGCUGUUGUCACUGCCUGUGGUGGGGUUAUGGUUUCGGACUCACCUGAUCCGUUCUGCCGGGAUUUUAAAGUAUGGGAGUUUAGGCAUACUUUGCAAGUUGUUUCUUGAAUAUACUUUUCUGAAUUAUG
rnacentral:sRNA from 1 species